UACGUAGGGUCCGAGCGUUGUCCGGAAUUAUUGGGCGUAAAGGGCUCGUAGGCGGUUUGUUGCGUCGGGAGUGAAAUCCUCCAGCUUAACUGGAGGCUUGCUUUCGAUACGGGCAGACUGGAGUACUGCAGGGGGAGACUGGAAUUCCUGGUGUAGCGGUGGAAUGCGCAGAUAUCAGGAGGAACACCGGUGGCGAAGGCGGGUCUCUGGGCAGUAACUGACGCUGAGGAGCGAAAGCGUGGGGAGCGAACAGG
rnacentral:rRNA from 1 species